AUUGAACGCUGGCGGCAUGCUUUACACAUGCAAGUCGAACGGUAACAGGGAGCUUGCUCCGCUGACGAGUGGCGAACGGGUGAGUAAUGCGUCGGAACGUGCCGAGUAGUGGGGGAUAACGCAUCGAAAGGUGUGCUAAUACCGCAUACGUACUGAGGUAGAAAGUGGGGGACCUUCGGGCCUCACGCUAUUCGAGCGGCCGACGUCUGAUUAGCUAGUUGGUGAGGUAAAGGCUCACCAAGGCGACGAUCAGUAGCGGGUCUGAGAGGAUGAUCCGCCACACUGGGACUGAGACACGGCCCAGACUCCUACGGGAGGCAGCAGUGGGGAAUUUUGGACAAUGGGCGAAAGCCUGAUCCAGCCAUGCCGCGUGUGUGAAGAAGGUCUUCGGAUUGUAAAGCACUUUAAGUUGGGAGGAAGGGUUGUAGGUUAAUACUCUGCAAUUUUGACGUUACCGACAGAAUAAGCACCGGCUAACUCUGUGCCAGCAGCCGCCGUAACAC
rnacentral:rRNA from 1 species